rnacentral:tRNA from 1 species
GCCCGCGUAGCUCAGCGGAUAGAGCACCGGCUUCCGGAGCCGGGUUGUCGGGGGUUCGACUCCCUCCGUGGGCG